AUUGAACGCUGGCGGCAUGCCUUACACAUGCAAGUCGAACGGUAACGGGCCUUCGGGUGCCGACGAGUGGCGAACGGGUGAGUAAUACAUCGGAACGUGACCGAUCGUGGGGGAUAACGAGGCGAAAGCUUUGCUAAUACCGCAUACGAUCUACGGAUGAAAGCAGGGGACCGCAAGGCCUUGCGCGGACGGAGCGGCCGAUGGCAGAUUAGGUAGUUGGUGGGAUAAAAGCUUACCAAGCCGACGAUCUGUAGCUGGUCUGAGAGGGUGAUCAGCCACACUGGGACUGAGACACGGCCCAGACUCCUACGGGAGGCAGCAGUGGGGAAUUUUGGACAAUGGGCGCAAGCCUGAUCCAGCCAUGCCGCGUGCAGGAUGAAGGCCUUCGGGUUGUAAACUGCUUUUGUACGGAACGAAAAGCCUUCUUUUAAUACAGGAGGGUCAUGACGGUACCGUAAGAAUAAGCACCGGCUAACUACGUG
rnacentral:rRNA from 1 species